rnacentral:rRNA from 1 species
UACGGGGGGGGCAAGCGUUGUUCGGAAUUACUGGGCGUAAAGGGCUCGUAGGCGGCCAACUAAGUCAGACGUGAAAUCCCUCGGCUUAACCGGGGAACUGCGUCUGAUACUGGAUGGCUUGAGAUUGGGAGAGGGAUGCGGAAUUCCAGGUGUAGCGGUGAAAUGCGUAGAUAUCUGGAGGAACACCGGUGGCGAAGGCGGCAUCCUGGACCAACACUGACGCUGAUGAGCGCAAGCCAGGGGAGCAAACGGG